GGGGGCGUGGCCAGGGCCGCAGGGGAGGCGCGGGUCCUCGGAAUGCCCCGGCGGGCCCUGAACCCGGAUGGGUGCCGAGCCAGGGUCUGCCUGCCGACACGGGGCCUUUAAUUGCUCAUGGAAUAGGACGGUAGUCCUUCUCGCACGUUUGGGGACAGGGAGAUGGAUAUUACCGAAACAACCAGGGGUCACACAGGACCUCCAUCAGCCCUCCAUGCGGCCCUAGGUCUCAGAAAAGGAUGCAUCUCUUCUGCUUUUCCCCUUCGGGAGUUCCUGUGGAGAUGCUAAAGAAGAUGGUUGACAUGGAUCAAAGGCAGACAAAGCAUGAGGGAGAAACUGCUGGAAGGAGCCUAGCUGAUGGAAUAGAAACCCCCUGAGAAAUUCACUCCUGAAUGAUUAAAAAGCAUCAGCCUAGCCUUUAAA